GUAAGUAGCACUUAGCACCUGUUAGUCAAGAAUUAUGGUCCCCUUUUUUGUCCUGGAGCAUUUUUACUUUGAAUUCAUACUGCUCUCUUCAACUGAUCACACAACUCAGUCAUCCGUAGUCACAGAGGCUUUUCCUUUCAUCCUUACAGUACCUUGACAACACCUAUGCUACUGUAUCAGUUCCAGUGACACAUAAGUACCAGUUCAUCCAAUAUCCUGCCUUUUCUGACACAGGU